CAGCCGCCACGGGAAUACGUAGGUGGCAAGCGUUGUCCGGGAUUAUUGGGCGUAAAGGGCUCGCAGGCGGUUUCUUAAGUCUGAUGUGAAAGCCCCCGGCUCAACCGGGGAGGGUCAUUGGAAACUGGGAAACUUGAGUGCAGAAGAGGAGAGUGGAAUUCCACGUGUAGCGGUGAAAUGCGUGGAGAUGUGGAGGAACACCAGUGGCGAAGGCGACUCUCUGGUCUGUAACUGACGCUGAGGAGCGAAAGCGUGGGGAGCGAACAGGAUUAGAUACCCCAGUAGUCCCUGUCUCUUAUAU
rnacentral:rRNA from 1 species